AGAGAUUAUAAAGAGAGAAGGAAGGACAAAAACUGUAAGGAGAAGGAGAGGGAAUGUGAUAGGGGUAAGGAGAGAGAGGCUCCAAGAAGGAUGAUACAGACUACAGAGAGUGACGCUGUUGAUGCAUCUGAUGUGAAGGAUGAGAGAAAAAGGGACAAGGAUAAGGGAAUCAUGGAAAGCAACAUCAAAGUGGGGCUGAUGACAUGAGUUCUGAGAAGGAAGAGAAAGAUGAAUCAAAGAAAUCACAAAGACAGUAGUUCUAGGAAAAAAUCAAGAAAGGCAGCAUGCAUACACGCUUGAUUCUGGUAGUGAAGGUGGGCACAAGAUACAUCGUAAAGAUCAUGGAGAUGGGUCCCGUAGAAAUGGCACUCACGAGGAGCUUGAAUACGGGGAACUUGGAGAGAAUGGGAAGAUUGGUGACAACAAAGGUCAACCUGAGUGUGCAAAGAAUCCUGCUUGAUCAGUACCUUUUUCGUCAAGAAAGUAAAUCCGGAGCAUCUUAUCAAGUGCAGCUACACGGGAUUAGCUCACCAGUGCCAACAAAGGCCAACCUGAGUGUGCAAAGAAUCCUGCUUGAGCAGUACCUUUUUGGUCAAGAAAGUAAAUCCGGAGCACUUAUGA